GGGACUAUGCCAGAAGGUACCGACAGGAGGGAAGGUAUGCCUUUCUAUUUGGGGGCCUUCUUGGCGGUGGCUCUUGAAUGGCGCUCCCAGGCCAGAAACGCUGUCUUGCAAGCUCAAACUCUCCAGGCCUUGGAAACGAAAGCAACCACCCUGGAAGAGGAGAUGAAGGCCCUGGGACGCCAGAACGAGGCUUAUUGUUCCUCUCUGAAACAAGCACAAGAGUCCAGGGCAGAAGCUGAGAGGAAACUGGCAGAGGCCUUGGAGCUCCA
rnacentral:lncRNA from 1 species